rnacentral:rRNA from 1 species
UAGCUUGCUAGAAGUGGAUUAGUGGCGCACGGGUGAGUAAUGCAUAGGUUAUGUGCCCCAUAGUCUGGGAUAGCCACUGGAAACGGUGAUUAAUACUAGAUACUCCUUACGAGGGAAAGUUUUUCGCUAUGGGAUCAGCCUAUGUCCUAUCAGCUUGUUGGUGAGGUAAUGGCUCACCAAGGCUAUGACGGGUAUCCGGCCUGAGAGGGUGAACGGACACACUGGAACUGAGACACGGUCCAGACUCCUACGGGAGGCAGCAGUAGGGAAUAUUGCUCAAUGGGCGAAAGCCUGAAGCAGCAACGCCGCGUGGAGGAUGAAGGUUUUAGGAUUGUAAACUCCUUUUGUUAGAAAAGAUUAUGACGGUAUCUCACGAAUAA